rnacentral:lncRNA from 1 species
AAGUGACGUCUGUGAGCCUUAAUGGCGGUUCAGUCAGUUUAGAUUUUGGCUCACCCUUUGUGACUUUGAUUUUGACCGACUUCUCCUCCACGAUUCGCUUGAAUACCUACAGUAUCCUACCCACUUGACUGAUUUGAGUGUAUGACGUAAGCGGGCACAUGCCCGACUUGACCUGGAUUUGUUUCCCUUUGUGGGAUUUCUGUUAGUAAGUGAUUGGCCCAGUGUGUCUCAUAGUUGGGACUCACUAUUAGUCGACCUGACAGCUUCACCCCAAUCACUUAGUAGCUCGUAUGACUUGACAGGGUUGAGAUCCCUGAUUUCUUGGAUGUGAAUUGACUCCUGCCUGUGGCAGAAUUUGACUUGAUCGGUCACCCUGAGUGACCCCUGUGCAUGAUAUCUCACCCAAGCCUGUAUUGCAUCUCAGGAUUGGUGAAUAUAGCUUCGAUUUAUGUAAAAGAGUGAUCGCAUUUACAGUCCACUCUCACUAUCGCGCUAUCAGAUAGCCCAACCACAAACGACCAUACAUUAUGAGGCAGCACAGUAAUUUAGAAAAAC